rnacentral:lncRNA from 1 species
AACAAUAUUGAUUAUUGGAUUGGUUAUUUUUCUUGAAAAUUUUAAUUUGGAUGGCAGUUUUCGUAGGCCUCCUCCACCCAGAGGAAAAAUUCCUAAAGAGCAUUCGCUUCCUGAUUAUUAUAAUCAACAAAUGAUGGAGUGCGUCCAAGAGUGCGAGGAUAUGUUUAGGACUAAGGAAUUAAAUGAAGUGGAUAUGAAGAUCUGCAUUGCAUUGUGCAAAAAUUCAUUCGAACGACCAUCACACCAUUAAUAUAUAAUGGUAAGUAUCUAAUUAUUAGACUCUUUUUUUUUUCACUAAAACACUACUUUUUCUAAAACUUGUUAUUAAAAUAUCAUAUUUUUAAAUUAAUUACUUAAAUGCUAUUUUUUUGUUAAGNNNNNNNNNNNNNNNNNNNNNNNNNNNNNNNNNUUUAGAUUUAUUAAUUAAAUCCAAUAAUCUACAUCGUAUAGUGAAGAUAUGAAGAUAUGAACAUGAACAUUGAAGAUAUGAAGAUAUGCAUUGAAGAUUACAGAUUUUUCUACCCACCAACUUUCCAAUAGUAGUGAUAAGUAUCUAAAUCGUUUACUUAUAAAAUUCAAUGAAUACUUGUGAAUUUUUUUUUGAAAAUUUUUAUUUUUCUAAAAUUAGGAGUGAGAUUGAUAUUCGAAAUUUUUAGGUAAUGAUGAAAAGAUUAUGUAAUUUGAG